CUUGCUCCCAGGCGUCGAGCGGCGGACGGGUGAGUAACACUUAGGAAUCUACCUAGUAGUGGGGGAUAGCUCGGGGAAACUCGAAUUAAUACCGCAUACGUCCUACGGGAGAAAGGGGGCAACUUGUUGCUCUCGCUAUUAGAUGAGCCUAAGUCGGAUUAGCUAGUUGGUGGGGUAAAGGCCUACCAAGGCGACGAUCUGUAGCUGGUCUGAGAGGAUGAUCAGCCACACCGGGACUGAGACACGGCCCGGACUCCUACGGGAGGCAGCAGUGGGGAAUAUUGGACAAUGGGGGCAACCCUGAUCCAGCCAUGCCGCGUGUGUGAAGAAGGCCUUUUGGUUGUAAAGCACUUUAAGCAGUGAAGAAGACCUAACGGUUAAUACCCGUUAGCGAUGACAUUAGCUGCAGAAUAAGCACCGGCUAACUCUGUGCCAGCAGCCGCGGUAAUACAGAGGGUGCAAGCGUUAAUCGGAAUUACUGGGCGUAAAGCGAGCGUAGGUGGCUUGAUAAGUCAGAUGUGAAAUCCCCGGGCUUAACCUGGGAACUGCAUCUGAUACUGUCAGGCUAGAAUAGGUGAGAGGAAGGUAGAAUUCCAGGUGUAGCGGUGAAAUGCGUAGAGAUCUGGAGGAAUACCGAUGGCGAAGGCAGC
rnacentral:rRNA from 1 species